AUUGAACGCUGGCGGCAGGCCUAACACAUGCAAGUCGAACGAGUGGCGGACGGGUGAGUAAUGUAUGGGGAACUGCCCGAUGGAGGGGGAUAACUACUGGAAACGGUAGCUAAUACCGCAUACUAUCGGAUGUACCCAUAUGGGAUUAGCUAGUAGGUGGGGUAAGGGCUCACCUAGGCGACGAUCCCUAGCUGGUCUGAGAGGAUGAUCAGCCACACGGGGACUGAGACACGGCCCAGACUCCUACGGGAGGCAGCAGUGGGGAAUAUUGCACAAUGGGCGCAAGCCUGAUGCAGCCAUGCCGCGUGUAUGAAGAAGGCCCUAGGGUUGUAAAGUACUUUCAGUGAGGAGGCGUUACUGGCAGAAGAAGCACCGGCUAACUCCGUGCCAGCAGCCGCGGUAAUAC
rnacentral:rRNA from 1 species